rnacentral:rRNA from 1 species
UACGAAGGACCCGAGCGUUAUCCGGAUUUAUUGGGUUUAAAGGGUGCGUAGGCGGACAUGCAAGUCAGUGGUGAAAUCUCCCUGCUCAACAGGGAAACUGCCAUUGAAACUAUGUGUCUUGAGUACAUUUGAGGCGGGCGGAAUGUGUCAUGUAGAGGUGAAAUUCUUAGAUAUGACACAGAACACCAAUUGCGAAGGCAGCUCGCUAAACUGUAACUGACGCUGAGGCACGAAAGCGUGGGGAUCAAACAGG